rnacentral:rRNA from 1 species
GGUGCGUAACGCGUGGGAAUCUGCCCUUGGGUUCGGGAUAACAGUUGGAAACGACUGCUAAUACCGGAUGAUGACUUCGGUCCAAAGAUUUAUCGCCCAAGGAUGAGCCCGCGUAGGAUUAGCUUGUUGGUGAGGUAAGAGCUCACCAAGGCCACGAUCCUUAGCUGGUCUGAGAGGAUGAUCAGCCACACUGGGACUGAGACACGGCCCAGACUCCUACGGGAGGCAGCAGUGGGGAAUAUUGGACAAUGGGCGAAAGCCUGAUCCAGCAAUGCCGCGUGAGUGAUGAAGGCCUUAGGGUUGUAAAGCUCUUUUACCCGGGAUGAUAAUGACAGUACCGGGAGAAUAAGCCCCGGCUAACUCCGUGCCAGCAGCCGCGGUAAUACGGAGGGGGCUAGCGUUGUUCGGAAUUACUGGGCGUAAAGCGCGCGUAGGCGGCUUUGUAAGUUAGAGGUGAAAGCCCGGAGCUCACCUCCGGAAUUGCCUUUAAGA